GGUGAUGUGCUUUGCUGUGAUAAUGCAGCUAAUCUGCAAUCCUGAUACAUAUGUUCUGUUUUCUGGCAGGCUGUCAUGCCUUAUAUAUUUACAACAGCCUCUUCAGAGAAAGGGGCCUUAGGUGUCCAUUCAUCACAUUUGCUCGAUGGGUGGCUAUAGGGGUAGGUGAUUAUUUCCACAGCAGUGCAGCUCAGGGUGCAGAGCUGGCACCCACCCCUCAGGACCUACCUGGGGAGACCUGGGCAGCACACAUCCCCCAUGGAAACACUGAGUACCAGCCUCUGCCCUGUUGAAAACCAGGGCUGUGGGUGGUGUGAUAAAAGUGCUUUGGCAGGGCCUGUGGUACUGCCAUUUGAACCACUCAUAGAUCUGAGUGUGUGGCUUCCACCCACUCCCUCGUGGCCUGGCCCUGGCCAAGCACCAUGGGGAUGCCAUUGGUUGGAAUGCCAUCUGCAGGGAUGCUGCUCACAGCAGCAACUUGGCCAGCAUCCUGGAAGACCUGGAAAACCUCUGACAGUUGCUGUGAGAGGGACUCACGGCAGCUCAACAAGGAGGGAUGAGGGACAUGAUGGGUGGUCCUCAAAUGCCCCAAACAGAAUAAAACCAGUGGUACAAAAGAUGUUUCUGUAUCCUGGAUUGCUGCUGUGACAGAUGGGGGGACACGUGGGAACGCUCUCUGCUGGUGUCCACCGGAGGUUGGUGUCAUUCAGCGUCGCACAGUCGUGCUCUCUCGAGAGGCGCCAGGCGGCUUCGCCAGCAGCUGAUCUGGAGCCAAGACACCAAAAGGUUAAGACCCAGCUUCUCGGUGGCUGCUGCUGCUCAGUUUCCCAUGGCGUGGGGAGGGACAAUCCUUCGGACACAGUUUACCCCCUCGAGUCCUCCCCGAGCACUCACUUGCCUGCAGUGCUCUACCAUAUUAGGAGUGUAUGGAGCAAAGCCCAGGAGCCAGGAUCAGGAACUCUCCUGUCAAUCUGAAGAACUGCUGCUAUAUUUAGUAAUGGGCACAUGGGAAUAGCAGCUUAAAUGUGGGAGGGGGCUGCUGGAAUGCCAAAAUGUGUUUGAAUCUAUUUGACUCCUGAUGGAAACUCUCAGACUGUGCUGCCUUUAGAGAGUCUUGUACAGAAACAAACUACAUUUUCCUAUUUUUGCAAUAAAGAAAAGCAGUUCAGCUGACAUAUACCUCCACCACAAUACUCUGAUGAACAGCAAUUAUUGCACAGCAAAAUAAAACUCUCAUUAAGUGUUUAUUUA